AUGUGUGAGGAGGUGUCGGCCAGAGUGGGGGUGAACCCUGAGCGGGGUUCCUCCUGUCCUCUGGGAAAUGACCACCCCCUCCUCCCACCCCAGCAGGGAGACAGGAGGUUGGAACAUGCAAACUGCAGACGGGGCUGGUCCUGGGCUCGGCGGUUGAGCCGAGUUCGCAUCCUUCUUGGAAAAAGCACCAGUCAGUGGGGAAAGCGGGGCCUGGAGUCUUCUCUGUCCUCACUGUUGUCACUUGGUCCUGCGGGUCCAUCCCGGGCAAACAGAUCAGCAACAGACGUACAAGGGAGCCAAGGAAUACUAGAGGUCAUUCCACACAACACCUUUCACACAGAUUUAUUGGCAGGGAAACCCCCCAGGAGGGUGGCUCCUCUGCUCAGGCGACAGACAGCACAGAACGAAGCAGAAGGCAGAAUUAUAUAGAGUUUUUUCUUUCUCUUAAGGGGGGUGUGGUUUGGGUGGGUGGAAUUUUUCAGGGUGAAGCUUUCCAGGCUUUGGAUUGCUUGGCUUUCAAGUCCAGAGCUUGGGCUUUU
rnacentral:lncRNA from 1 species